rnacentral:misc_RNA from 1 species
GAAAUGCGAUAAGUAAUGUGAAUUGCAGAAUUCAGUGAAUCAUCGAAUCUUUGAACGCACAUUGCGCCCGCCAGUAUUCUGGCGGGCAUGCCUGUUCGAGCGUCAUUUCAACCAUCAAGCCCCGCGCUCGUGUUGGGGACCUGCGGCUGCCGCAGGCCCUGAAAACCAGUGGCGGGCUCGCUGUCACACCGGGCGUAGUAGAUUUUAUCUCGCUCAGGGCGUGCUGCGGGUUCCGGCCGUUAAAAAGCCUUUUUUACCCAAGGUUGACCUCGGAUCAGGUAGGAAGACCCGCUGAACUUAAGC